AAUCAACGCUGGCGGCGCGCUUAACACAUGCAAGUCGAACGAGAAAGGGGAGCAAUCCCUGAGUACAGUGGCGUACGGGUGAGUAACACGUGGGUCAUCCACCUCUUGGUGGGGAAUAACCCUGGGAAACCGGGGCUAAUACCGCAUAAGCUCGAGAGAGGAAAGGCGAAAGUCGCCGAGAGAGGAGCCCGCGGCCGAUUAGCUAGUUGGUAGGGUAAUGGCCUACCAAGGCGAUGAUCGGUAGCCGGCCUGAGAGGGCACACGGCCACACUGGCAC
rnacentral:rRNA from 1 species